rnacentral:rRNA from 1 species
GCUUGUCUCAAAGAUUAAGCCAUGCACGUCUAAGUAUAAGCGAUUAUACUGUGAAACUGCGAAUGGCUCAUUAUAUCAGUUAUAGUUUAUUUGAUGGUCCUUGCUACUUGGAUAACCGUAGUAAUUCUAGAGCUAAUACAUGCAUAAAUCCCCGACUGCUUGGAAGGGAUGUAUAUAUUAGAAUGAAACCAAUCGGCUUCGGCUGUAUUGUGGUGAGUCAUAAUAUCUAAUCGGAUCGCAGAGGCUUCGGCCGGCGAUGAAUCAUUCAAGUUUCUGCCCUAUCAGCUUUCGAUGGUAGUGUAUUGGACUACCAUGGCGGUGACGGGUAACGAAGAAUAAGGGUUCGGUUUCGGAGAGGGAGCCUGAGAGAUGGCUACCACAUCCAAGGAAGGCAGCAGG